rnacentral:rRNA from 1 species
AUAUUCCGCAAUGGGCGCAAGCCUGACGGAGCAAUGCCGAGUGCAGGAUGAAGCGGCUUCGCCGUGUAAACUGCUGUCAGGGGUCAGAAACACUGAUCGACCCCAGAGGAAGAGGCGGCUAACUCUGUGCCAGCAGCCGCGGUAAGACAGAGGCCUCAAGCGUUAAUCGGAAUCACUGGGCUUAAAGGGUGCGCAGGCGGCUCGGAAAGUGUCCCGUGAAAUCCCACGGGUCAAACGGGGAAACGGGGGGGAAAACAACGGGGUUGGGGGAGGGAGAGGGGGGGGGAAAGAAAGGGGGGGGGGGGGGAUGCGUAGAGAUCUAUCGGAACGCCGAAGGUGAAGACAGCCCGCUGGGCCUUUCCUGACGCUCAGACACGAAAGCGUGGGGAGCAAACAGG